rnacentral:rRNA from 1 species
GCUUCGGCUCCGGCGCAAAGAGAGGCCCAAGUGAGAUUAGCUAGUUGGUAAGGUAACGGCUUACCAAGGCGACGAUCUCUAGCUGUUCUGAGAGGAAGAUCAGCCACACUGGGACUGAGACACGGCCCAGACUCCUACGGGAGGCAGCAGUGGGGAAUAUUGCACAAUGGGGGAAACCCUGAUGCAGCCAUGCCGCGUGUGUGAAGAAGGCCUUCGGGUUGUAAAGCACUUUCAGUUGUGAGGAAAAGUUGGUAGUUAAUACCUGCUAGCCGUGACGUUAACAACAGAAGAAGCACCGGCUAACUCCGUGCCAGCAGCCGCGGUAAUACGGAGGGUGCGAGCGUUAAUCGGAAUUACUGGGCGUAAAGCGCACGCAGGCGGUUUGUUAAGCUAGAUGUGAAAGCCCCGAGCUCAACUUGGGAUGGUCAUUUAGAACUGGCAGACUAGAGUCUUGGAGAGGGGAGUGGAAUUCCAGGUGUAGCGGUGAAAUGCGUAGAUAUCUGGAGGAACAUCAGUGGCGAAGGCGACUCCCUGGCCAAAGACUGACGCUCAUGUGCGAA